GACGAACGCUGGCGGCGUGCUUAACACAUGCAAGUCGAACGGAAAGGCCCUGCUUUUGUGGGGUGCUCGAGUGGCGAACGGGUGAGUAACACGUGAGUAACCUGCCCUUGACUUUGGGAUAACUUCAGGAAACUGGGGCUAAUACCGGAUAGGAGCUCCUGCUGCAUGGUGGGGGUUGGAAAGUUUCGGCGGUUGGGGAUGGACUCGCGGCUUAUCAGCUUGUUGGUGGGGUAGUGGCUUACCAAGGCUUUGACGGGUAGCCGGCCUGAGAGGGUGACCGGCCACAUUGGGACUGAGAUACGGCCCAGACUCCUACGGGAGGCAGCAGUGGGGAAUAUUGCACAAUGGGCGGAAGCCUGAUGCAGCAACGCCGCGUGCGGGAUGACGGCCUUCGGGUUGUAAACCGCUUUCGCCUGUGACGAAGCGUGAGUGACGGUAAUGGGUAAAGAAGCACCGGCUAACUACGUGCCAGCAGCCGCGGUGAUACGUAGGGUGCGAGCGUUGUCCGGAUUUAUUGGGCGUAAAGGGCUCGUAGGUGGUUGAUCGCGUCGGAAGUGUAAUCUUGGGGCUUAACCCUGAGCGUGCUUUCGAUACGGGUUGACUUGAGGAAGGUAGGGGAGAAUGGAAUUCCUGGUGGAGCGGUGGAAUGCGCAGAUAUCAGGAGGAACACCAGUGGCGAAGGCGGUUCUCUGGGCCUUUCCUGACGCUGAGGAGCGAAAGCGUGGGGAGCGAACAGGCUUAGAUACCCUGGUAGUCCACGCUGUAAACGGUGGGUACUAGGUGUGGGGUACAUUCCACGGGUUCCGUGCCGUAGCUAACGCUUUAAGUACCCCGCCUGGGGAGUACGGCCGCAAGGCUAAAACUCAAAGGAAUUGACGGGGCCCCGCACAAGCGGCGGAGCAUGCGGAUUAAUUCGAUGCAACGCGUAGAACCUUACCUGGGUUUGACAUGGAUCGGGAGUGCUCAGAGAUGGGUGUGCCUCUUUUGGGGUCGGUUCACAGGUGGUGCAUGGCUGUCGUCAGCUCGUGUCGUGAGAUGUUGGGUUAAGUCCCGCAACGAGCGCAACCCUUGUUCACUGUUGCCAGCACGUUAUGGUGGGGACUCAGUGGAGACCGCCGGGGUCAACUCGGAGGAAGGUGGGGAUGACGUCAAGUCAUCAUGCCCCUUAUGUCCAGGGCUUCACGCAUGCUACAAUGGCUGGUACAGAGAGUGGCGAGCCUGUGAGGGUGAGCGAAUCUCGGAAAGCCGGUCUCAGUACGGAUUGGGGUCUGCAACUCGACCUCAUGAAGUCGGAGUCGCUAGUAAUCGCAGAUCAGCAACGCUGCGGUGAAUACGUUCCCGGGGCU
rnacentral:rRNA from 1 species